GUCAGGAUGGCCGAGUGGUCUAAGGCGCCAGACUCAAGUUCUGGUCCUUGUAAAAGGGCGUGAGUUCAAAUCCCACUUCUGACA
rfam:Ipomoea nil DNA, scaffold: scaffold2827, cultivar: Tokyo-kokei standard.